GGCUGGGCGGGGCAUGGGUUAACGGAGGUGUGCUAGUGGUACAAGGUUGUGCGGUCGCCCCGGGACCGUCUACUUUCACGGCGAGUAAUCGCUCGCAGUUAUGGGGAAAAGUUUUGAAGUGAGGCCAUGCGUUCGAGGCGAAGAGCAGAUCACGUAAUUAACCUCGAAUACCUUUCCGCGGCGGCGGCGGAGCACUGCUAUGAAGCGAUUUUGAGAACACAGAUGAAUUCGAGUUCCUUUCAGAUCUAGUCCAUAGAUUUCCACUGCUGACUCCGGUGGAUCUGUCGGAUUAAGCCGGUGGUUGCACCGAUGACAGGGAUGUGAGCGCCCGCGGUAGCCGUGAGGCCUAUCGACCUGAACGACAAUGGUACUUGCGAGACUGCCUUUGCGGUGGACUUCCACAAACGCCUGGCUGGACAAAAGACGUUCAACGAUUUAGCUGCUACUCGGAUACCGGUUGGUAGAGCACCCCUGGAGCGGCCGCGGUGCGACGACAGGGUGUGCGGAAGAACUUCAGGGAAUUUUCUGAAGAAAGAACAGAUAUAGUACUUGUUUUGAUAGUUGGUAGUUCGUUCGACUCACUAGGAGAAGCAUAUGGUUAUUACAACCUGUACUUCUAGGAAAUUCGCUUUUGUGUGAGGUAUGUGAAGAGCCGGCAGAACGUCGAUCGAACGAAGUGUAUGCAGGAAAUUGUCUGUGGCUGCUUGGUGAGGCAAACUCAGAAUUAGAUUAUAGGGUAACACCAUGCCACCUGCUGAAACAAUUAGAUUAUAGCUUGAUGAACUGCACUUCAUGGUUAUAUUUUGAAUUAUACUUUUGGCACACUGGUACUACCCAGGGAAUCAUGACAAAUGGUGCAAAGUUGUCUAUGGAGUGGAGGUACUUGAAAAUGGAGCAGAGAUUACAUGCGAGUGGUAAUUUCGAGCAUGCUUGUGUGCUCUACUGCCAUGCUGGUAAUGUAAUAUGCCUGUAGAAUCAGCUGCGUUUUUUUGUCAUAAGAUGACACAUUAUGAAUAACUGACAAUUAUCUGUGCUGCUAUGACCUCGAUUUCCUGGGCUUCACCAAGAUAAUAAAGAAGCACAUUCUAAAAAGAUGAACCAAGGAUGCAAUAGAUGUGCUGCCAGAUCAUUUGGCAAAUCUGCAGAAGGACAAGAUUUUGCUUAACUCUGUCAAAUUUCGGUAUUCGAAUUUGUACACACACGUUAUGGAGGUUGUAAUACUUGGGGACCCAAACACAACAUCAUGCAAGGCAGCAAUAGAGCUCAUUAAGGCAGCAAUGCGGAAGCUGAUGCCUAUAGCCGCUGUGCAUGAUGGUAUGCGGUUAGAAGACCAGCUUCGAGAUGCCAAAUGCAAGGGUACAGAAACAAGUAACGGGCAUGCACCUGGCUGUGGUUACGGGAGUGAUGCUGAUGGAAGCCGAGUGGGCAUUUUGAAAGGAUUAUCAGCUCCAGAUCGUAAGUGGAGGGCGGGUCCUCCCACAAACAGGAGGUAUACGCCUCCAUAUGAUGAUUUCUGGGUGCAAUCAAAGAAGCACAAUGGUGUGGCUGAUGCGACAGGCACAACUGAGUGCGGUACAAGCAAACGUACACGCUUCUGCAGUAUAUGCGGGCAAACAAGACAUAGAAGUAUAGUUUGUCCUC